UGAUUGGCAUUUGAAAAUCUCUCUCUCAUUUACUAAAUACAUGUGAAAUUGAAACAGCCUCGUUGUCUGGGGUAAUAUCUGAGGUUUGUUGUCUCAUGGCCAGGGAGAACACCUUCUCAGAAUGAAUCUGUGUAAUUGGAUCUGUGAGGUAUGCUUAGUUGCCAUUUACCUGAGUCUGUUUCCAAAAAUGACAGAACAAAAGACUAUUACAAGAGA
rnacentral:lncRNA from 1 species